rnacentral:rRNA from 1 species
UACGUAGGGGGCAAGCGUUAUCCGGAUUUACUGGGUGUAAAGGGGGCGCAGACGGCGAUGCAGGCCAGGAGUGAAAGCCCGGGGCCCAACCCCGGGACUGCUCUUGGAACUGCGUGGCUGGAGUGCAGGAGGGGCAGGCGGAAUUCCUGGUGUAGCGGUGAAAUGCGUAGAUAUCAGGAGGAACACCGGUGGCGAAGGCGGCCUGCUGGACUGCAACUGACGUUGAGGCCCGAAAGCGUGGGGAGCAAACAGG